GAGACUCUGUGCGCGUGCAUAUCAAUAAGCGGAGGAAAAGAAACUAACAAGGAUUCCCUUAGUAACGGCGAGUGAAGCGGGAAGAGCUCAAAUUUGAAAUCUUCAAGGUUCUACCUUGACGAAUUGUAGUUUAUAGAAGUGUUUUCUGUUAGUAGGAGUGGCAAAAGUUCUUUGGAAUAGGACAUCAUAGAGGGUGAGAAUCCCGUAUUUGGUCAUUCUCUCCUAGCUUUGUGAUACACUUUCAACGAGUCGGAUUGUUUGGGAAUGCAGUCCAAAAUGGGUGGUAAAUUUCAUCUAAAGCUAAAUAUUGGCGAGAGACCGAUAGCGAACAAGUACCGUGAGGGAAAGAUGAAAAGAACUUUGAAAAGAGAGUUAAACAGUACGUGAAAUUGUCAAAAGGGAAGCGUUUGACACCAGUGUUGUUUUUCCGAAAAUCAAUUACGAAUGUUUUAGUUUUUGAGAAGUUAUGACUUCAUCGGCUUGCUUCUCUCUUUAUGAAACUUUCUUAAUGCACUUUUCGGUUAACAAGUCAACAUCAAUUUCUUUUGUUGUAAAAGGGUAUGAGGAAGGUGGCUUUCUUUUCGGAGAAAGUGUUUAUAGCCUUGUAGCCUCUGCAAUCGGAGAGAUUGAGGUCUGCAGCGUAGAUCCUUCGGGGUUAGAUACAUUUGUGCUAAGUUAUAGCUUUUCAUAGACAACUUGUUGACUAUGUUAAGUCUUGUAGCUUACUCGCUUAUGCUAUUUUACCUACGCUUAGGAUGUUGACGAUCAGCUGAGCGCG
rnacentral:rRNA from 1 species